rnacentral:rRNA from 1 species
GCCCAGACUCCUACGGGAGGCAGCAGUGGGGAAUAUUGCACAAUGGGGGAAACCCUGAUGCAGCGACGCCGCGUGAGUGAAGAAGUAUCUCGGUAUGUAAAGCCCUGUCAGCAGGGAAGAACAAAGACAGUACCUGACCAAGAAGCCCCGGCUAACUACGUGCCAGCAGCCGCGGUAAUACGUAGGGGGCAAGCGUUAUCCGGAUUCACUGGGCGUAAAGGGAGCGCAGGCGGCACGGCAAGUCUGGUGUGAAAGCCCGGGGCCCAACCCCGGGACUGCAUUGGAAACUGCCGGGCUGGAGUGCCGGAGGGGUAAGUGGAAUUCCUAGUGUAGCGGUGAAAUGCGUAGAUAUUAGGAGGAACACCAGUGGCGAAGGCGGCUUACUGGACGAUUACUGACGCUGAGGCUCGAAAGCGUGGGGAGCAAACAGGAUUAGAUACCCCAGUAAC